UACAGAGGGUGCAAACGUUGCUCGGAAUUACUGGGCGUAAAGCGUGCGUAGACGGUUAUUUAAGUCGGGUGUGAAAGCCCCGGGCUCAACCUGGGAAUUGCAUUCGAGACUGAAUAGCUAGGGUACGGUAGAGGGAAGCGGAAUUUCCGGUGUAGCGGUGAAAUGCGUAGAUAUCGGAAGGAACAUCAGUGGCGAAAGCGGCUUCCUGGACCAGUACCGACGUUCAGGCACGAAAGCGUGGGGAGCAAACAGG
rnacentral:rRNA from 1 species